rnacentral:rRNA from 1 species
UUAUUUUCAGGAAGCUUUCGGGUGGAAUGAACUUAACUUAGCGGCGGACGGGUGAGUAACGCGUGGACAACCUACCCUGUACAGGGGGAUAACAAUGGGAAACCAUUGCUAAUACCCCAUAACACCUUUUAGGGGCAUCCCUUUAAGGUCAAAGAAUUUCGGUACAGGAUGGGUCCGCGUCUGAUUAGCUAGUUGGUGAGGUAAUGGCUCACCAAGGCGACGAUCAGUAGCCGGCCUGAGAGGGUGAACGGCCACACUGGAACUGAGACACGGUCCAGACUCCUACGGGAGGCAGCAGUGGGGAAUUCUACAUUGUGGGCGAAAGCCUGAUGCAGCAACGCCGCGUGAGCGAUGAAGGCUUUCGGGUCGUAAAGCUCUGUCCUAAGGGAAGAUAAUGACGGUACCUUAGGAGGAAGCCCCGGCUAACUACGUGCCAGCAGCCGCGGUAAUACGUAGGGGGCAAGCGUUAUCCGGAAUCAUUGGGCGUAAAGGGUGCGUAGGCGGCCCUAUAGGUCAGAGGUCAAAGGCUACGGCUCAACCGUAGUAAGCCUUUGAAACUGUAGGGCUUGAGUGCAGGAGAGGAGAGUGGAAUUCCUAGUGUAGCGGUGAAAUGCGUAGAUAUUAGGAGGAACACCAGUGACGAAGGCGACUCUCUGGACUGCAACUGACGCUGAGGCACGAAAGCGUGGGGGAGCGAACAGGAUUAGAUACCCUGGUAGUCCACGCCGUAAACGAUGAGUGCUAGGUGUCGGGGGUCGAACCUCGGUGCCGCAGCUAACGCAUUAAGCACUCCGCCUGGGGAGUACGUUCGCAAGAAUGAAACUCAAAGGAAUUGACGGGGACCCGCACAAGCAGCGGAGCAUGUGGUUUAAUUCGAAGCAACGCGAGAACCUUACCUGGACUUGACAUCCCUCGGACCGCUUUUUAAC